GACGAACGUUGGCGGCGUGCUUAACACAUGCAAGUCGAACGAUGAAGCCUAGCUUGCUAGGUGGAUUAGUGGCGAACGGGUGAGUAAUACGUGAGUAACCUACCUUUAACUCUGGGAUAAGCCUGGGAAACUGGGUCUAAUACCAGAUACGACCAAUCUCCGCAUGGGGUGUUGGUGGAAAGCGUUAUGUAGUGGUUAUAGAUGGGCUCACGGCCUAUCAGCUUGUUGGUGAGGUAACGGCUCACCAAGGCGACGACGGGUAGCCGGCCUGAGAGGGUGACCGGCCACACUGGGACUGAGACACGGCCCAGACUCCUACGGGAGGCAGCAGUGGGGAAUAUUGCACAAUGGGCGCAAGCCUGAUGCAGCGACGCCGCGUGAGGGAUGACGGCCUUCGGGUUGUAAACCUCUGUUAGCAGGGAAGAAGAGAGAUUGACGGUACCUGCAGAGAAAGCGCCGGCUAACUACGUGCCAGCAGCCGCGGUAAUACGUAGGGCGCGAGCGUUGUCCGGAAUUAUUGGGCGUAAAGAGCUUGUAGGCGGUUUGUCGCGUCUGCUGUGAAAGGCCCGGAGCUUAACUCCGUGUAUUGCAGUGGGUACGGGCAGACUAGAGUGCAGUAGGGGAGACUGGAAUUCCUGGUGUAGCGGUGGAAUGCGCAGAUAUCAGGAGGAACACCGAUGGCGAAGGCAGGUCUCUGGGCUGUAACUGACGCUGAGAAGCGAAAGCAUGGGGAGCGAACAGGAUUAGAUACCCUGGUAGUCCAUGCCGUAAACGUUGGGCACUAGGUGUGGGGAACAUUCCACGUUUUCCGCGCCGUAGCUAACGCAUUAAGUGCCCCGCCUGGGGAGUACGGCCGCAAGGCUAAAACUCAAAGAAAUUGACGGGGGCCCGCACAAGCGGCGGAGCAUGCGGAUUAACUCGAUGCAACGCGAAGAACUUUACCAAGGCUUGACAUAUACUGGACCGCAUCAGAGAUGGUGUUUCCCUUCGGGGCUGGUAUACAGGUGGUGCAUGGUUGUCGUCAGCUCGUGUCGUGAGAUGUUGGGUUAAGUCCCGCAACGAGCGCAACCCUCGUUCUAUGUUGCCAGCACGUUAUGGUGGGGACUCAUAGGAGACUGCCGGGGUCAACUCGGAGGAAGGUGGGGAUGACGUCAAAUCAUCAUGCCCCUUAUGUCUUGGGCUUCACGCAUGCUACAAUGGCCGGUACAGAGGGUUGCGAUACUGUGAGGUGGAGCUAAUCCCUAAAAGCCGGUCUCAGUUCGGAUUGGGGUCUGCAACCCGACCCCAUGAAGUCGGAGUCGCUAGUAAUCGCAGAUCAGCAACGCUGCGGUGAAUACGUUCCCGGGCCU
rnacentral:rRNA from 1 species